GACGGAGGAGGCUAGCGUUGUUCGGAAUUACUGGGCGUAAAGCGCACGCAGGUGGCUUGGGAAGUUGGAUGUGAAAGCCCGGGGCUUAACCCCGGAAUAGCAUCCAAAACUUCCAAGCUCGAGUCCGGAAGAGGAGAGUGGAAUUCCCAGUGUAGAGGUGAAAUUCGUAGAUAUUGGGAAGAACACCGGUGGCGAAGGCGGCUCUCUGGUCCGGUUCUGACACUCAAGUGCGACAGCGUGGGGAGCAAACAGG
rnacentral:rRNA from 1 species